CAUGUCUUUUUGUUAAUGAUUUAAAGUCUAAUCUGCUCAAUGAAAAAUUAAAUUGCCGCGGUAUUUUGACUGUGCAAAGGUAGCAUAAUAAUUUGUUCUUUAAUUGAGAGCUGGAAUGAAUGAUUGGACGAGGAAAUUACUGUCUCUUAAGUAAUUUUAUUGAAUUUAAUUUUUCAGUAAAAAAGCUGAAAUAAUAAUGAAAGACGAGAAGACCCUAUAGAGUUUAAUAUUUAUUUUUUUAAUUUUAAAUUAGAAUUGAAUUUGUUGAUAAAAGUAAGUGUUUGGUUGGGGUGACUAAAAGAUUUAAUGAACUCUUUUAAUUUCUUAAUCAUUGAUUAAUGAUUAUUUAAUCUAUUAUUUUUAAAGUUAAAAUAAAUUACCUUAGGGAUAACAGCGUUAUUUUCCUUUCAAGUUCUUAUUGAAUGGGGAGAUUGCGACCUCGAUGUUGGAUUAAAAUUAAUUUUAGGCGCAGAAGCUUAAGAAUUAAGUCUGUUCGACUUUUAAAAUUUUACAUGAUCUGAGU
rnacentral:rRNA from 1 species